rnacentral:rRNA from 1 species
GCUCAACCGGGGAGGUGCCUUGGAAACUGCCCAAACUUGAGUGCUGAAGAGGAGAACGGAAUUGCACGAGUAGAGGUGAAAUGCGUAGAUAUGUGCAGGAACGCCGAUGAUGAAGAUAACUCUCUGGACUGUAACUGACGCUGAAGAGCGAAAGCUAGGGGAGCGAACAGGAUUAGAUACCCUGGUAGUCCUAGCUGUAAACGAUGAUUGCUGGGUGUGGGGGGGUUUCCGCCCCUUGCCGCUGCUAAUGCGAUAUUAAAUCCUCCUGGUGGGGACUACGGUCGGGCUACUGAUACUCGGAAUUAUUGGGGACCCGCCCAACCGGUGGAGGAUGUGGUUUAUUUAUUCGCAACACCGGGAACAUUACUACAUCUCCUUGUCCUCCUCUGACGGCCUAGACGAUAGCUGUUUCCCUUCGAGGACAGAGAGACGUGGGGCAUGUGUGUGUCGUCUCUCGUCGUCGAGAUGAUGUUGUUAAUUCCCCCGCAACGAGCGCCACUAUCGAUCUUUGUUGUCAUCAUUUUGGUGGACUCUCUAAGGUGACUGCCGGUGACAAACCGGAAGGAGGUGGAUGACGACGACUCAUCAUGCUGCCCCUGAUGAGCUGUACUAACCUGCUGCUACGAUGGACACAACGAGA